rnacentral:lncRNA from 1 species
UACCUCUGGCAAUUGGUUUAGAUAGGGACGUAUGACGCAGGCCCAUCCAGUCGAUGUACAUUCAUGAGGGCUGGCCGGCUGCUGUGAGUGCAGGGCCCGCAAAGCCCAUGCCCACCUGGAACUCCAGCUGGCCCGCAAGCACCGCAUGCAGCCCUGGUUCCCGCUUGCGCCUCUCCCUCCACACCUCCCUGCAAGCUGACGGAGUGGGCUCCAGCCUUGGCCAGCCCAGAAAGGGGCUCCCCCAGUGCAGUGGUGGGCCGAAGCGCUCCUUAAAUGCCGCCAAAAUGGGAAUCCAGGCAGAGGAGGUGCCAAGAGCAAGCGAGGGCUCUGAGGACUGCCAGCACGCUGUCACCUCUCAAUCCCCCCUCUAAACAGGACACCCCAACUGCUGUUGGGAAUUUGGCCGAUGACGGCUCUAGCUACUUCCUGCUGGAUAGAGGCGAAGGAAGGGGCCCUGCAGUUGUGGUGUCCUUCAGAGGGGAACUCUCCAGGCCAGGGGAAGUGCCAGUGGGUCGGUCCAGGGGUCCUCGGUAGAAGUUGUUAGUUGAACUCAUUUGGGGUUCCAUUUGUAAGACCAUCUGUAUCUUGAUGGCCUCCAUUCCAGAGGAAACAAAUUUGACAAGAAGGUUAAAAAUACAGGGCCCAAAGGCGAGUAACAGCAAGAUGGUUGCCACAGGACCUAGAAAGGGGAGAAGCCAUGUUGCCCAACUCCAGAGGUUGGUAUAAGAAUUUGAAAGGCGUUGUCUGAUUUCAGAAGCCUUUUCCUGUAAACGCCGGGCAGCAUCUCGUACUAUCCCCGACUGGUUAGUGUAAAAACAACACUCUUCCCCUAAGAAGGUGCAGAGUCCUCCUUUCUCAGCAGUGAGGAGGUCUAGGCCUCAGUGGUUUUGGAGAGUCACUGCUGCCAAAGAGUCUAUUUGGGAUUGUAGAGUAAGAAUAGAUUUCGUUAUUUCUUGAAAA